rnacentral:lncRNA from 1 species
UUAGGAUUUGGUUUAGGAUGUAGGAUUUGGUUAGGAUUUGGUUAGGAUUUGGUUAGGAUUUGGUUUAGGAUUUGGUUAGGAUUUGAUUUAGGGUUUAGGGUUUGGUUUAGGAUUUGGUUAGGAUUUAGGAUUUGGUUACGGUUUGGUUUAGGAUUUAGGAUCUGGUUGGGGUUUGGUUUAAGGUUUGUUUAGGGUUUGAUUUAGGAUUUAGGAUUUUAUUAGGAUUUAAGAUUCAAUUAGUUGUGGCCUAAAGUUUGAAUGAAGUUCAAUAGGAUUUUAACUAGUAUUAAAUUAAGAUUGAAUUGAGAUGUAUUUGAAUAAUAUUUAUUGAAGAAAAGAAGU